rfam:Skermanella stibiiresistens SB22 contig9, whole genome shotgun sequence.
GCCCAGGUAGCUCAGUUGGUAGAGCAGGGGACUGAAAAUCCCCGUGUCGGCGGUUCAAAUCCGUCCCUGGGCA